CAAUAGCGUAUAUUAAAGUUGUUGCAGUUAAAAAGCUCGUAGUUGGAUUUCUGGUGGGAGCGAUCGGUCUGGCGCUUAGCGCGAGUACUUGCAUCGUCUCCGGCCAUCCUUGGGGAAAGUCUGUCUGGCAUUAAGUUGUCGGGCAGAGGAUCCUCAUCGUUUACUGUGAAAAAAUUAGAGUGUUCAAAGCAGGCUUAUGCCGUUGAAUAUAUUAGCAUGGAAUAAUAAGAUAGGACUUUGGUACUAUUUUGUUGGUUUGCGCACCAAAGUAAUGAUUAAUAGGGACAGUUGGGGGUAUUCGUAUUCCGUUGUCAGAGGUGAAAUUCUUGGAUUUACGGAAGACGUACUACUGCGAAAGCAUUUACCAAGGAUGUUUUCAUUAA
rnacentral:rRNA from 1 species